GGGGUCAUAGUGUAACCAGGUAUCACGGGAGCCUCCAGAGCUCUAAAUCAGGGUUCAAAUCCCUGUGACCCCA
rnacentral:tRNA from 1 species